rnacentral:lncRNA from 1 species
GCAGAUUUUUACACCAGGCCUGUUAGAAUAGCAUUUACUAUCUGUUUCAAUGGUUAUCUAAGUUAGGACCAGGGUUUUGGUCCUAACUUGUCCAAAGGUCCUAAGUAGAAAGGUGCUUUUACUGCUCGAGGUCCUCGGAAGGGUUGUAAUGCAAGAACACACACACACACACACUGGUCACACACACACACACACACACACACACACACGCACACUGGUCACACACACACACACACACACACACACACACACACACACACACACACACACACACACGCACACUGGUCACACACACACACACACACACACACACACACACACACACACAGACACACACACACACACACACACACACACACAGACACACACACACACACACACACACACACACACACACACACACACACACACACACACACACGCACACACACACACUGGUCACACACACACUGGUCACACACACACACACACACACACACACACACACGAACACUGGUCACACACACACACACGCACACUGGUCACACACACACACACACACACACACACACACACACACACUGGUCACACACACACACACACACACACACACAGGUCACACACACACACACACACGCACACACACAGGUCACACACACACACACACACACACUGGUCACACACACACACACUCACUGGUCACACACACACACACACACACUGGUCACACACACUCGCGCACACACAGGUCACACACACACACACACACACUGGUCACACACACACACACACACACACAGGUCACACACACACACACACACACACACGUGCACACACACAGGUCACACACACACACACACACACACACACACUGGUCACAGACACACACACACACACUGGUCACACACACACACACUGGUCACACACACACACACACACUGGUCACACACACACACACUGGGCACACACACACACACACACAGGUCACACACACACACACACACACACACACACUGGUCACACACACACACACACUGGUCACACACACACACACACAGGUCACACACACACACACACACACACACACACACACACACACACACACACUGGUCACACACACACACACACAGGUCACACACACACACACACACACACACACACACACACACACACACACACACACACACACACACACACACACUGGUCACACAUACACACACACACACACUGGUCACACACACACACACACACACACUGGUCACACACACGCACACGCACACGCACGCGCACGCACACACACACACACACACACACACACACACACACACACACUGGUCA